AUUAAUUAAGUAUGAGAAGGGCAUUUGGUGAAUGCCUUGGCGAUAAGAGGCGAUGAAGGACGUGAUACGCUGCGAUAAGCGUCGGUUAGCUGCGAAUAAGCUUUGACCCGGCGAUUUCCGAAUGGGGAAACCCACUCUUAGAAUUCUGUUACAGUUUUUGGUAAGUAUUUGUUUGCUCACCGAAAGCUGCGUACAGAAUUCUAUCGAAGAGUAUUUAUAACUGAAUACAUAGGUUAUAAAAGCGAACCCGGUGAACUGAAAUAUCUAAGUAGCCGGAGGAAAGGACAUCAACCGAGACUCCCCUAGUAGUGACGAGCGAACGGGGACCAGGCCAGUGGUGUGUGCAAUGUAACGAGAAUGUUCUGGAAAGGACAGCCAUAGUGGGUGAUAGCCCCGUAUCGGUAAGAUAGCAUGCAUCCUUGAGUAGGGCGGGGCACGUGAAACCUUGUCUGAACAUGGGUCGACCACGAUCCAAGCCUAAGUACUCCUUAUCGACCGAUAGUGAACCAGUACCGUGAGGGAAAGGUGAAAAGCACCCCGACGAGGGGAGUGAAAUAGACCCUGAAACCGAAUGCCUACAAACAGUGGGAGCAUCCUUGCGAUGUGACCGCGUACCUUUUGUAUAAUGGGCCAGCGACUUAGUCUGUCUAGCAAGCUUAAACCGUUAGGUGUAGGCGUAGCGAAAGCGAGUGUUAACUGCGCGUUUAGUUAGACGGAUUAGACCCGAAACCGGACGAUCUAGGUAUGGGCAGGUUGAAGACGCGGUAACACGCGUUGGAGGACCGAACCCACUAAUGUUGAAAAAUUAGGGGAUGACCUGUGCCUAGGGGUGAAAGGCCAAUCAAGUUCGGAAAUAGCUGGUUCUCCGCGAAAACUAUUUAGGUAGUGCGUCAGAUGAAUACCAUCGGGGGUAGAGCACUGGAUGGACUAGGGGGCCUCACCGGCUUACCAACUCUAACCAAACUCCGAAUACCGAUGAGUACUAUCUGGCAGACAGACGGCGGAUGCUAACGUCCGUCGUCAAGAGGGAAACAACCCAGACCUACAGCUAAGGUCCCCAAAUCGUAGUUAAGUUGGAAAGCAUGUGAGACGGCCAUAACAACCAGGAGGUUGGCUUAGAAGCAGCCAUCCUUUAAAGAAAGCGUAAUAGCUCACUGGUCUAAUUAAGCUGUCUUGCGGCGAAGAUGUAACGGGUAUUAAACUACGUACCGAAGCUUAGGGCUUGCUUUUAGCAAGCGGUAGCGGAGCGUUGUGUAAGUCUGCGAAGGUGAGGGGCGACCCUUGCUGGAGAUAUCACAAGUGCGAAUGCUGGCAUGAGUAGCGACAAGAAGAGUGAGAAACUCUUCCGCCGAAAUCCCAAGGGUUCCUGCGUUAUGUUAAUCAGAGCAGGGUUAGUCGGCCCCUAAGGCGAGGCAGAAAUGCGUAGUCGAUGGGAAACGGGUUAAUAUUCCCGUACUUCAUAUAACUGCGAUGGGAAG
rnacentral:rRNA from 1 species